rnacentral:rRNA from 1 species
AGUGAACGCUGGCGGUAGGCCUAACACAUGCAAGUCGAACGGCAGCACAGUAAGAGCUUGCUCUUACGGGUGGCGAGUGGCGGACGGGUGAGGAAUACAUCGGAAUCUACUUUUUCGUGGGGGAUAACGUAGGGAAACUUACGCUAAUACCGCAUACGACCUACGGGUGAAGGCAGGGGAUCUUCGGACCUUGAGCGAUUGAAUGAGCCGAUGUCGGAUUAGCUAGUUGGCGGGGUAAAGGCCCACCAAGGCGACGAUCCGUAGCUGGUCUGAGAGGAUGAUCAGCCACACUGGAACUGAGACACGGUCCAGACUCCUACGGGAGGCAGCAGUGGGGAAUAUUGGACAAUGGGCGCAAGCCUGAUCCAGCCAUACCGCGUGGGUGAAGAAGGCCUUCGGGUUGUAAAGCCCUUUUGUUGGGAAAGAAAAGCAGCAGGUUAAUACCCCGCUGUUCUGACGGUACCCAAAGAAUAAGCACCGGCUAACUUCGUG